AAACGCUGCUGUCUGACUGCAGGUACUUCAUGAUUAGACUACGGUGAAUAAGAUUGAAGUAAAACAGGGUCCCGGCGGAACUGAUCGUUGUCCUCUCUUUAACUUCGGCAGGUGCUGAGGCUGAAGACUGAUUUUAAAAAUGAGAAGAAAAAUCUGAUAUUUACAGCACUUGCGUCUGGCGAUCUGAGGGUCAGUGUCUGCUUGCGCAUGGAUUUGCAUAAAUCUGCAUGUGGAAUGAGAGGAGACGUGCUAGACGAUUCCUAUUGGAUUCCCGUCUUCAUUUAGUACCUUUUAAGAAUGAGAGAGAGUGAGAGAGAGCGGGGGAGCUCUGGAGGGGGCCGCGUGGAGCCUCUCCUGAGCAGAUACACAUGUAAUUGUGCGUUCAAAUGGGUGUAAAUAAAAGCAAAGCUGAGAGAAAUAUGCUGGAUGGCCCUGGUUUAAAUUCAAUUCUUCAACACAAGCCGUUUAUUAAGGAGCGAGGGCAGGCUGAGAGU
ensembl:lncRNA